rnacentral:rRNA from 1 species
AUUGAACGCUGGCGGCAGGCCUAACACAUGCAAGUCGAACGGUAACAGGAAGCAGCUUGCUGCUUCGCUGACGAGUGGCGGACGGGUGAGUAAUGUCUGGGAAGCUGCCUGAUGGAGGGGGAUAACUACUGGAAACGGUAGCUAAUACCGCAUAAUGUCGCAAGACCAAAGAGGGGGACCUUAGGGCCUCUUGCCAUCGGAUGUGCCCAGAUGGGAUUAGCUUGUUGGUGGGGUAACGGCUCACCAAGGCGACGAUCCCUAGCUGGUCUGAGAGGAUGACCAGCCACACUGGAACUGAGACACGGUCCAGACUCCUACGGGAGGCAGCAGUGGGGAAUAUUGCACAAUGGGCGCAAGCCUGAUGCAGCAAUGCCGCGUGUAUGAAGAAGGCCUUCGGGUUGUAAAGUACUUUCAGCGGGGAGGAAGGGAGUAAAGUUAAUACCUUUGCUCAUUGACGUUACCCGCAGAAGAAGCACCGGCUAACUCCGUG